AACAAAAACAGAAGUCUCGCAUUUACCAAAAGAAAAAACUAAGCCUCACAAUUUAUUUUUAGAUCUUCAAAUUUUUUAAGUGAAAAAUUGCAGAGCUAAAGGGUAUUUCCUGAGAUCAAAGGGAAUAUAUGUGUAGGAUACUAGGAUUAGUCGGUAGUCAGACUGAGAGCUUCACAACGGUCAACUUCCAAAAAUUCCAAUUGCGAAGGAGGAGAAGGUAUAAGGUUUGGCUUCCCCAGGUACGCCCUGAUCCGAAAACUUCAUUUUGCUCACACCUCUUCUGGUGAUUAAUGUCACUGGGGAAGUGCACGUCAACUUCCAAGAACAGCAACUAGGUCCUAGCUGCGAGGUGAGAGGGGCUAGGUGUGGCUCCCCCAAGUACCUCCUGAUCUGGAAUUUCCAUUUGUAUCUUCCUUCUUCUGCUGAUUUAUAAACUGCGGAAGAAUACGUUUCAACUUCCAAGAGCGGCAGGAGGUGGGAGGUGCGAGGUGCGAGGCUCCCUCAGGAGCGUAAUCAGAUCUACUACCUUCCGUCAUCUUUUUAUGAAUGUUUCCUUCUCGUCUUUGACAAAAAAAAUCUGAUCUUUGCCGGCUCAUGUGCAUUUCUCGACGUGGUUCUAGAUGAAGUUGAUGCAGAUGAUGUUCUUGUUGUUUCUCAUAUUUUGAUUUAAAGCCAUGAACUGGAUUCAGCGAAAGAUCUACCUGUACAAUGUCACUUUCGGACCAUAUGGGUUGGAUUGGUGGGAAAAGUACAUAUUCAAUUUAUUGGUGAUCAUGUUGCUCUGGUUUAUUUGCUACAAUGGAUCACGAACUGCAGCUGAGUUUUAUAGAAGCCAUCUCAAGGUUAUGCUUGGAAUUGGAGAGUGAUAUGAUUGUUGAAGGUAGAAUGGAAGCAGGGUGAUUUCAAUCAGGAUUGCUCUUUGGGAUUUGUUGAUAUUGCAAUCUGCCUUCUUUGUUAUGUGCAUUUAUGUAGAUUAUCUUUUUAAACUAUUAUGAUUUUCUUUUAGUGCAAAUGUUGUUUUUAUUUUUCAUCCAGACAAGACUUUCCUACAUGGGCAGCUGCAUCUUGUAAAGACCAUGUAAAGACAAUUUGUAGAAAAUAUCCAAAGUACUGGACAUAGUUAAUAAUUGAAAAGUAAGGAACAGAAUGUACAAA